GACGAACCGUGCGAACGUUGUUCGGAUUCACUGGGCUUAAAGGGCGCGUAGGCGGGCUGCCAAGUCAGGGGUGAAAUCUUUCGGCUCAACCGGAAAAGUGCCUCUGAUACUGGCGGCCUCGAGGGAGGUAGGGGCGUGUGGAACUUCCGGUGGAGCGGUGAAAUGCGUAGAUAUCGGAAGGAACGCCGGUGGCGAAAGCGGCUACCUGGACAAUUGCUGACGCUCAGGCACGAAAGCGUGGGGAGCAAAAGGG
rnacentral:rRNA from 1 species